rnacentral:misc_RNA from 1 species
UACGUAGGUGGCAAGCGUUGUCCGGAAUUAUUGGGCUUAAAGCGCGCGCAGGCGGUCUUGUGAGUCUGAUGGGAAAGCCCCCGGCUCAACCGGGGAGGGUCAUUGGAAACUGGGAGACUUGAGUACAGAAGAGGAGAGUGGAAUUCCACGUGUAGCGGUGAAAUGCGUAGAUAUGUGGAGGAAAACCAGUGGCGAAGGCGACUCUCUGGUCUGUAACUGCCGCUGAGGCGCGAAAGCGUGGGGAGCGAACAGG